rnacentral:rRNA from 1 species
CAGUCGCCGCGGUAAUACGUAGGUGGCAAGCGUUGUCCGGAAUUAUUGGGCGUAAAGGGCUCGCAGGCGGUUUCUUAAGUCUGAUGUGAAAGCCCCCAGCUCAACCGGGGAGGGUCAUUGGAAACUGGGAAACUUGAGUGCAGAAGAGGAGAGUGGAAUUCCACGUGUAGCGGUGAAAUGCGUAGAGAUGUGGAGGAACACCAGUGGCGAAGGCGACUCUCUGGUCUGUAACUGACGCUGAGGAGCGAAAGCGUGGGGAGCGAACAGGAUUAGAUACCCCAGUAGUCCCUGUCUCUUAUAC